rnacentral:rRNA from 1 species
AUGGUUGAUGAAGCUCUCCAACGGGUGCCUAACAGAAAUGGAGACAAAUAUAUUGACGAGGUCAACCAAAUCAGAGACUCGUUGGCAAUUAUGGGUGAUAACAGUACUGCUUUUAGCUUGCCCCAGCCUCAUCUCCAAAGAACAAAGUUAUGUGAUCUGAAAGACCAGGAACUUGAACCAUUGUAUGUACAAAGGAGGGAUGAAUUGAAGCAAUUAGUUGCAUCCAUGGUAAAACCAAAAAUUGUGCAGGGUAGAACUUUAAAUGGAAAGGAGUUUGUAGCCUUCUUAGGGCAGAUACUUGAAGCUUUGAAUAAAGGCGAAAUUCCAUCGACAGGGUCGCUUGUUGAAGUUUUCAAUAAGGGCAUCCUUGAACGUUGCUUGAAGGUGUAUACUGAAAGAAUGGAAAUAGUGGCUCUACCAGUAUCAGUUGAUAAACUUCAGCUGGCUCAUGGGUUGGCAGAAGAUGAAGCUAGAAAGCGUUUUGACAAGCAACAUUUUGGUAAACAUUAUGCUGCUCAGUCCUUCCUCAAUCUUGAUGAAGAAAUAAAAAAGGUGUUCAGAAGCUAUGGAUUAGCCAAUGAGUAUCAGUCAUCAAAGCUGUGUGAAGCAAAGUUCUCAGAGUGUGAAGAAAAAAUGGAUCACCUUCAAGCCUUGAAGCUUCCUUCCAUGGCAAAAUUCAAUGCAGGAUUUCUCCGCUGCAACCAAAGUUUCGAAAUGGAGUGUGUGGGGCCUGCCAAGGGUAGCUAUGAGCAUCGAAUGUCAAAGAUGCUCGCAAGGUCCCGUGCUCUGUUCAUCAGGGAGUAUAACAACAAACUCUUCAACUGGCUGGUGAUCUUCUCCCUAACCAUGGUGGUGAUCGGGCGAUUCAUCGUAAAGCUUCUUCUACUUGAAGUUGCUGCAUGGGUGAUGUUCAUCUUCCUGGAGACAUACACGAGGUUGUUCUGGUCAUCGGAAUCGCUCUACUACAACCCCGUCUGGCACGCCAUCGUCUCUUCGUGGGAGGCCAUUGUGUACAGCCCUGUUCUUGAUCUUGACAGAUGGGCAAUCCCAAUUGUUGUCAUGCUGUCCUUCUUAGCUGUUUAUUGGCGUUGCAUCGGCGCAAGGGGAAGGAUCGGUCGGUCGGUGUUACCCAUGUACAAUGGGUCUUUCAGAAGCAGCUCCGGUCGGCCCAGGACGGAUUAA